rnacentral:rRNA from 1 species
GAUGAACGCUAGCGACAGGCCUAACACAUGCAAGUCGAGGGGCAGCACAUGCGUAGCAAUACAAUGGUGGCGACCGGCGCACGGGUGAGUAACACGUAUGCAACCUACCUGUAAGAGGGGAAUAACCCGGAGAAAUUCGGACUAACACCGCAUAAUACCGAUUAACUGCAUGGUUGAUCGGUUAAAUAUUUAUAGCUUACAGAUGGGCAUGCGUAACAUUAGAUAGUUGGUGAGGUAACGGCUCGCCAAGUCAACGAUGUUUAGGGGUUCUGAGAGGAAGGUCCCCCACACGGGUACUGAGACACGGAACAGACUCCUACGGGGGGCAGCAGUGGGGUAUAUUGGUCAAUGGGCGAGAGCCUGAACCAGCCAAGUCGCGUGAAGGAAGAAGGUUCUAUGGAUUGUAAACUUCUUUUGUAAGGGAAUAAAAAAGCUUACGUGUAGGCUAUUGUAUGUACUUUACGAAUAAGGAUCGGCUAACUCCGUGCCAGCCGCCGCGGUAA